rnacentral:rRNA from 1 species
GACGAACGCUGGCGGCGUGCUUAACACAUGCAAGUCGAACGACGUGGCGCACGGGUGAGUAACGCGUAAUCAACCUGCCCUUCAGAGGGGGACAACAGAUGGAAAAGACUGCUAAUAACGCAUACUGUAGGAGGGGAUUGCGUCUGAUUAGCUAGUUGGCUGGGUAACGGCCCACCAAGGCGAUGAGCAGUAGCCGGUCUGAGAGGAUGAACGGCCCCCUUGUGCCUGCGACACGGCCCCAACUCCUACGGGAGGCAGCAAGGGGGAAUCUUCCGCAAUGGACGAAAGUCUGACGGAGCAACGCCGCGUGAGUGAUGACGGCCUUCGGGUUGUAAAGCUCUGUUAAUCGGGACGCGGUACCGGAAUAGAAAGCCACGGCUAACUACGUGCCAGCAGCCGCGGUAAUAC